GGAAAUAAAGAAGGGAGAACUUUAUCCUUGUUUAGAAGCCAAAAAGCCUGAAAAUGUUCCCAAAAACCGCUACAAAACAACAUAUGCUUACGAUCAUUCCCGUGUUGUUCUGUCAACUGUAUCGAGAGAAUCCAGCUACAUUAAUGCAAAUUUUAUUGAGGAUACACAAGGACAACGGGCGUAUGUUGCUACUCAAGGU